AGUAAAGAAGUAAAAAAAUUUACAUUUAGUUUCGACCUAAAAUUAGAGAUUAUACUCCUUACUC
rnacentral:tRNA from 1 species